GGUGGCGUGACCGAGCGGCCGAAGGUACUCGCCUCGAAAGCGAGCGUCGUGUAACAGCGACCGGGGGUUCAAAUCCCUCCGCCACCGCCA
rnacentral:tRNA from 4 species